rnacentral:rRNA from 1 species
GACGAACCGAGCGAACGUUGUUCGGAAUCACUGGGCUUAAAGGGCGCGUAGGCGGGCUGCCAAGUUUGGGGUGAAAUCCUCCGGCUCAACCGGGGAAGUGCCUCGAAUACUGGCGGUCUCGAGGGAGGUAGGGGCGUGCGGAACUGUAGGUGGAGCGGUGAAAUGCGUUGAUAUCUACAGGAACUCCGGUGGCGAAGGCGGCACGCUGGACCUUUUCUGACGCUGAGGCGCGAAAGCCAGGGGAGCGAACGGG